UACGAAGGGGGCUAGCGUUGCUCGGAAUUACUGGGCGUAAAGCGCACGUAGGCGGCUUUCUAAGUCGGGGGUGAAAUCCUGGAGCUCAACUCCAGAACUGCCUUCGAUACUGGAGCUUGAGUCCGGGAGAGGUGAGUGGAACUGCGAGUGUAGAGGUGAAAUUCGUAGAUAUUCGCAAGAACACCAGUGGCGAAGGCGGCUCACUGGCCCGGUACUGACGCUGAGGUGCGAAAGCGUGGGGAGCAAACAG
rnacentral:rRNA from 1 species